CCUACGGGAGGCAGCAGUGAGGAAUAUUGGUCAAUGGACGAGAGUCUGAACCAGCCAAGUAGCGUGAAGGAUGACUGCCCUAUGGGUUGUAAACUUCUUUUAUAUGGGAAUAAAAUGUUCCACGUGUGGGAUUUUGUAUGUACCAUAUGAAUAAGGAUCGGCUAACUCCGUGCCAGCAGCCGCGGUAAUACGGAGGAUCCGAGCGUUAUCCGGAUUUAUUGGGUUUAAAGGAAGCGUAGGUGGAUUGUUAAGUCAGUUGUGAAAGUUUGCGGCUCAACCGUAAAAUUGCAGUUGAAACUGGCAGUCUUGAGUACAGUAGAGGUGGGCGGAAUUCGUGGUGUAGCGGUGAAAUGCUUAGAUAUCACGAAGAACUCCGAUUGCGAAGGCAGUUCACUGGACUGCAACUGACACUGAGGCUCGAAAGUGUGGGUAUCAAACAGGAUUAGAUACCCGUGUAGUC
rnacentral:rRNA from 1 species